GACAGAGGGUGCGAACGUUGUUCGGAAUUACUGGGCGUAAAGCGCGUGUAGGCUGUUCGGAAAGUCGGGUGUGAAAGCCCUGGGCUCAACCUAGGAAGUGCACUCGAAACUCCCGAACUGGAGUCCCGGAGAGGAAGGCGGAAUUCUCGGCGUAGAGGUGAAAUUCGUAGAUAUCGAGAGGAACAUCGGUGGCGAAGGCGGCCUUCUGGACGGUGACUGACGCUGAGACGCGAAAGCGUGGGGAGCAAACAGG
rnacentral:rRNA from 1 species